GUUUUUUUUUUGUUGAAGGAAACAAGAUGAUAACUCUCUCAACCUGUCAAGAUUAGUAACGAAAAACUCAAAAGUAGAACCUCUCCAAUGUAUUUGUCUGAAUAACUUCCAACCAUAGUUCUAAAACUUGUUGACUUGACUUGAAACUUGUGAGAUUUCUGCAGGAAACUGGAAUUUGCUGGUGACUCAGCCCAGUUACCUGGAAACUUGUUGAGUUGACCCACUAAUUCGGUCAACUCGACUCACCCUGACUCAGUCUGUGUCAAUCAUCUAGUCAGAAGUAUUUUUAAUUAAAAGUAAAAAAAGAUUACUUAUGCUAGAUUCAAACUUGCAACCUCUUUGACAUGGACUUGGAUUAUUGGAUAGUGACCCCUCGUGGACUGACCUAGGUACUGGCAAAGCUCUGUUGGCCCCACCAUGAUAUAUGUGCUUUAUCCAUGAUGUCCAUCCAUUUUGCCAUGACAUGAGUUAAAAAAUGAGCCAUUUUGCCAUCUCAUUUUAGGACAUGAGUUAAAAAAUAAGGUAGAUCCAAAUCUCUGGUGGACCACACCACAAGAAACAAUGGCAGUUGAAUGCCCCCCAUUAAAAACUUCAUGGGGCGUAAAAGUUUUCGAUCAAGCUGAUAUUUAUGUUUUCCCUUCAUCCAGUUCUGUCCCUUUAACAUGUGAAGUUUUAUUUAUUUAUUUAUGGUGGGUGUCAAUAACCACUGUUUCUGCAGUGUGGUCCACCAGAGAUUUUUGGGCAUGAGCCGGCAAAAUGAAUGGACGCCAUGGAUAAAAUACAUGCAUCAUGGCAGGGCCCACAUAACACCGACUACUACUGACCUUAGUACUGUUAAGGGUCACUACCAAAUCCCACUCCCCCACAAUCGGUGUCCAUAUCUACCAACGCGAUGAAUGCGGCUGGUAUGUUGAUGUGUUGGAAACUGUGGGGCCCAACAUGAUGUAUGUGGUUUAUAUCCAGAUGGUCCCUCCGUUUUUCCGGUUCAUUUCAGGGCCUGAACUCAAAAUGAAACAUACCCUAAAACUUUCCAAAGCCCCGUUUGUCUUUUAUCCAACUUCUUGAUAAGGUUAAUGUGAAAGCCUCUUCCCAUGCCCGCAUGGCGGUGACCUCACACUACAAGAAAUACCCUUAUUAGGGGCGUUUUUAUCACAGGCGGCCAUAAUAAACGCCACUGUAGAUGGUAAUUAGGGGCGUUUUUAUGUGGCCGCCUGUGUAGGAUGAAGCCACCGCUACACAUUCCAAAUUAAAAAAAAAAAACCUAAAAUAUAUUUCCCCAAAUCGCCCGCCCAAACUCCAAAAGGUGCUUCUUCUCCCGCGCGCCUCUUCUCUCCAAAAACCUUCUCCCCUCUUUCUAUUCCUCAUCAGGGACGCCUCUUCUCUCCAAAAGAAUUCUGCUGCUGCUUAUUUGGGUUCUUAGAUCAGAUCUACAGCUACAGAUCGAGUACGCCCAGUAACCUACGGACGUGGUCAUCAACGGUGAAGAGAAUAAAAGAAAUCUGAGAAGGCACUUAACAGUUGGAUUGGCAAAAAUUCUGGAUUUAUAUUAUGAAGAUCUGUACACCUUCCCUAACAAACAGCUCUCAUCUGGGUUGGUUUCAGAAAUUUCAAAAUUAUCAAAGAGUAAGAGGAGCUCUUCAGCGUUGCGAAUGCUAUCUUUUACAUUUGCUGGUGGAUGUUUUCUGGUAGCCAUUGGUAUUCUUGCUCAACUUUGUAAGCCUCACCUCUUCAGGCUAGAAAAUCUCCAGCCUUGAGUUUCUUUUCUCUAAGCCUAUAUAUUCCCACCACCGAGCCUUAAGUUGUUUGUACUUGUAGUGGUAUUCUUAUCAUAUUCACUCUAAUUUUAUGAUGUUAUUUUGCCAAGUCUACCAAAUGAGGCCGUAGCUUCAUUUCUCAAUUCCAUCAUUCAUGCAAAUAAUGUGGAACAGUGGAAGUGAGAUCCUCGACUUCCAUACUUAUGCAUUCCCAGAUAAGGUGGUUUCUUCUAGUUUGAAUUUUUAAUAUGCUAUUUUAAGUCAAGUUGUUCCUUCAUUGGAGGACGAUACUACUUUCAUCCAAGAACUAUUUGUGAGAAUGAGAUAUUAAUGCACGACUUCUGCAGCAUCAAAAAAUAAUUUGGUAUUUUUUUCUUGUAUCUGUGAAUCUAAGCUGGAUACGUCUGUCAAAUUCAGGGUGAGGUUUUCGGGUUCUUCCGUUUUUCUCGUAGUAGUGAUGAUAAUCAAACCCUAUAUGUCUCUUGGAACACCAUAUCAUGGGAGAGAGUUGGAUCAAAGAAAAUAGUCCGUGACCCUAUUUCUGCCUUCAAUGUUUCAGCUGAUGGAGAAUUCCUUGCAGUGUAAAUCUUCAAUUAAUGCUUCUUAUAGAAGAAGAAUUUUGAUUCCAUUUUAUACUCUUUCCGAUUUGAGUGAUUGAAUUGGUUUGAAGAACUGACAUUUUUCUAUCAUUCGUAUGGUAAUUGUCUGAUAUUGGUUGUUCUUGACACUCUUCAUGAAGUGAUGGAUCAAGAUUCUACUCGAGGAUCACACAUCUGCUUAAAAAUUUUCAAGUAGCUCCAUUUCUACUCACACAUUUUCUUUGUCAUUGUUAUCUGUUUUCUAUUCUAUCCUGAUUCUUGUUUCAGUUGAACAACUGAAAUUUUCAAAUAGGCUUUGGGAGUUUUUUAAAUAUUUUGAUUCGAUGGAGUUGUUUCUCAGUUUUAUUUCUAGCCUAUAGAAAAUUUUCAACAUCAACAUGCACAAAAUCUAUCCUUGUUGGAAGCUUCCUCAUUGCUCAAUACACCCAACCAAAUCGAUCUCUCCCUGGAAGUCAUCUUAUCUUGGAGACACCUUGAUUUCUGGAUUUACAUUUGAUCAUGGCAAUCAGCAACCCGACUUUCCACAUCUUCAUCAAACCAUUGGGCUUCUUGAAAGGAGGAUUCUAACCUUUUGGAAGUCCUGAACUCACCCACUGAAUAUGCUCCAUCCAUCAUACAUUCAUAUAAGCAUGCACUUUUUUAAACUUCACGCAUCUUU